UUUAUAAGUAAUGUUUAAGAGCAAUGACCCACUCCUACUUUCAGCAAAGAGGUGCACAUAGCAUAGACCCAUAGAAGAGGAAGGAUCUGAGAAGGAGUUUGAAAAAAGUGUAGGAGAGGCUGCGAGAAAACAAGGCAGGUGUCCUGGCUGAGGGCAGGAAGGAGACAUUGCGAUGGAAAUUGUGCCCCAUUUUCUUGGAGGAUUGGGAAGAGGACCUGUGGACUGGGCGGCCCACACAACUGCUGUAACCUCAGGCAGUUUUCAAGCAGAUUGACCUUCCUGCUGGAACACGGCACAUGAGGAGAAAAUGAACAGCUGGACAAUGCUCCUGGUCAGUAGGCCUGAAGGAUGCUGGGAUGCAGCCCUCAAGAUGGAACAGCCAGGAUGCCAAGUAUCCCUCUUGCCCAGAUCCUAAGGCACUUUUUCUACUGAUCCAUAUUGGCCUCAGGAGAUGUCUCAACACAGCACCCCAGCCAAUGGAGCUGCCACAUAAGAUGAACUCUUGAUCAUCUCUAAACUAGAGAGUUAAACUCAACACUAGCAAACGACUUUGGGUUUAUGCAUAUGUCAUGUUUUCUCUGGCAACUGCACAGAAUCAUCUCUAAAUAUCACAUCUAUGGUUGGCAGGAGUGGCA
rnacentral:lncRNA from 1 species